rnacentral:rRNA from 1 species
AACGAACGCUGGCGGCAUGCCUAACACAUGCAAGUCGAACGAGACCUUCGGGUCUAGUGGCGCACGGGUGCGUAACGCGUGGGAACCUGCCCUUAGGUUCGGAAUAACUCCCCGAAAGGGGUGCUAAUACCGGAUAAUGUCUUCGGACCAAAGAUUUAUCGCCUUUGGAUGGGCCCGCGUUGGAUUAGCUAGUUGGUAGGGUAAAAGCCUACCAAGGCGACGAUCCAUAGCUGGUCUGAGAGGAUGAUCAGCCACACUGGGACUGAGACACGGCCCAGACUCCUACGGGAAGCAGCAGUGGGGAAUAUUGGACAAUGGGCGAAAGCCUGAUCCAGCAAUGCCGCGUGAGUGAUGAAGGCCUUAGGGUUGUAAAGCUCUUUUACCCGGGAUGAUAAUGACAGUACCGGGAGAAUAAGCGCCGGCUAACUCCGCG